rnacentral:rRNA from 1 species
UACGUAGGCAGCAAGCGUUGUUCGGAAUUACUGGGCGUAAAGAGUGUGUAGGCGGUGUUCUAAGUUUGUCGUGAAAUCUCCCGGCUUAACUGGGAGGGUGCGGCGAAACUGGAAUGCUAGAGGAUGGGAGAGGUAAGCGAAAUUCCUGGUGUAGCGGUGAAAUGCGUAGAUAUCAGGAGGAACACCUGUGGUGUAGACAGCUUACUGGACCAUUUCUGACGCUGAGACACGAAAGCGUGGGUAGCAACAGG